AGCUCCAAUAGCGUAUAUUAAAGUUGUUGCGGUUAAAAAGCUCGUAGUUGGAUUUCUGCUUGGGGCAGCCACUGUACCCUCCGGGUCACAGAUGGUUAGGCCUGAGCAUCUUCUUGGGGACCGUGUCUGCACUUGAUUGUGUGGCACGGGUUCCAGGACUUUUACUUUGAGGAAAUUAGAGUGUUUCACGCAGGCGUCCGCCUUGAAUACGUUAGCAUGGAAUAAUGCGACAGGACCUCGGUCCAUUUUGUUGGUUUCUUGGGUUGAGGUAAUGAUUAACAGGGAUGGUUGGGGGCAUUCGUAUUUAACUGUCAGAGGUGAAAUUCUUGGAUUUGUUAAAGACGAUCUACUGCGAAAGCAUUUGCCAAGGAUGUUUUCA
rnacentral:rRNA from 1 species